GAUGAAGAACGCAGCGAAAUGCGAUAAGUAAUGUGAAUUGCAGAAUUCAGUGAAUCAUCGAAUCUUUGAACGCACCUUGCGCCCUUUGGCUAUUCCGAAGGGCAUGCCUGUUUGAGUAUCAUGAACACCUCAACCCUCAUGGUUUGCCAUGACGGGCUUGGACUUUGGGGGUCUUGCUGGAUUGUAGUCAGCUCCCCUUAAACAAAUAAGCUUGCCAGUGUUUGGUGGCAUCACAGGUGUGAUAACUAUCUAUGCUUGUGGUUUUACAUCAGAUAACCUUCAGUGAUGGAGGUUCACUGGAGCUCAUAAAGGUGUCUCUCCUCUGUGAGGACAGCUCUUUGAAUGUUUGAUCUCAAAUCAGGCAGGACUACCCGCUGAACUUAAGCAUAUCAAUAAGCGGAGGA
rnacentral:misc_RNA from 1 species